ACGGCUUCACCCUCACAUUGGGAGAGAACAGGUGGGAGCAGUUCCAGAUCUGGCUGGAUGGCGACCCGACGCGCGUGUUGCACC
rnacentral:rRNA from 1 species